rnacentral:lncRNA from 1 species
GUGGUGGGAGGGGCUCCCCUCAGUGGCCCGGUGGUGGAGAUGCUUCCGAGACGAAAGCACAGAAAGCAAAUGCAGAACUUCCCUGCCUCUCCGUCCUUCCCUCAUUUUGAACAGAGACAGCAGCUACCUGUGACUGCCCUGGGGUGAAUGUGCAGCAUCUGGGGUAAAUUUCUUCCCACGCCUGCCCGCAGCAGUCGAGACAGAAGCUGGCACAGGGCUGCCCUUCUUGUGAGCCAGGCAGCAAAAACCAGGCGCUGAGGCUCAGAACUGCUGACUCAAGCCUCCAUGAAGGAACAGAAAUCCAGAAAGCCGGGCCAGAAAUAGCAUCCGUGAGCAUCUAUUGAUAGCAUAAAGUCCGUGGGCAGAGUCCCAGUUCCCACCCUGAGUCCUGCCAAACAGUGCUGCAACAGUCAGCGUUCUGGCCACAGAGAGUGAGGAUGCAGGAUGGCUCGGCCCAUUUCCCCAACUACGUCAGUCUGGACAGAUGUCUCAGGCUGUGUUGGCAGAGGCACUGCUGGUACCACGUGCCAACCUCGGGACAAGCUGCCUCCUCUUGGAAAUGAAGCAGGGACGAUGCACCAGGGAAUCAUGUCAUCAAGUCAGCCGUGUCAACACGCGUUUAUGGAAUGGAAUGGAAUAGAGUAUCACUGCAGCCCACCAAGUAAGGGAAGGUCCGUGCCAAUCGUGGACACAUAUGGGGCUGAAGCCAGCGGGACAGCCCAGCACCCACUCCGCGGCAGCUCACAUUUCGGAGACUGAGCGGGAACCAGGGGACCCAUCAAUGCCUCCGCGCGUCUCACCGGCCGGUGACGUGGCUCAGCGUAGUUAUGCUCAGUCUGCCCCGGACCCAGUGGGCCUCAGAGGCAAGAGAACAAUGGAAACUUGACCUGCGUAACCAAGGAAUGAUGCCACGAGAGCCCAGUUUGGUCAGCGCAGAGUCUAAUCCCCGGAGACCCUCAGCCCAACAACCCAGCCCCUUUCCCUAGUGAGGCAGAGAGGCUCAUCUGCACCCCGCCUACAAGGCAAAGUGCCGCGCUGGGGAGCGGACUGGCGAACUGGCUCCAGAGCGAAGAUGCAUCAUGUUUUCCAAAGGGCUGACUUCUCUAACUCGGGUGGAGGGAAUGGGGAGGUUUCUGCCCUUCCCCUCCUGCGCAGGAAAAACUCUGGAGUCU